AUCUCAAGAGCGCCAAAUAUGGUCACUUCCCAGAGAAUAUAGUACACGAGGAACCAGAAACAGCCAAUGACAUGUACCCCACUCCCUGAGAGAGAGAGAGAGACAGAGAGAAAGAAGAAAGACGAGGAAGGAGGGGGGGUACCAGCAGCCCUGUCUCAUAAGACCCCCUUUCAGGGGCCUCUGUUCUGUCUGCAUACACGACCUGUGUAAAGUAGCCACAACAUUUCCUUUGAACCUGGCCACUGGGAGCCAUUUUUUAAGUAACACAACGCAAAGUUUAAGCAUCCACGACGUUAAUGAAUUAAAAAGGACAAGGAAUAGAAAACACUAUUUUAUCAAUGCUUUAAAAAUUAGGGUUGAUUUGUUCCUUUAAAUUUUCAUACUGGUGUAAUCGCUCACUUGGUUUGUGUGCUGAAGAAAAGACAUCGUCUAAAAACACUCAUUUCAAAAGUAUAAACGUAUGUAGGCCAAAGGUUAAUUACAAAACACAUGAAUACACGAUCAAACGUGUUACAUGCUUUAAAUCUUCUCUCACCUGUAACAUGCAAUCAGGUGAAUUUAAAUGCUUUAAAAGUUUUAUUUAUUUAUUUACUAUUUGGAUCAAUCUGAUUCUUACUUUAAAAAGUUUAAUAUCAAACUCAGCCCUUAGAGACCUCCCUGAAUAAGAACUUCUCUGCCAAUAAAAACACGAUUAAACUGCUCCAAUGUUACGAGCAGCCAACAAUAAUCGCACUUAUUGAAAAUGCUGCAAAUUGUCCAGCUGAUAGGAGUCUUUAAGGCGAGGUCAUGAGGCGGUUUACAGCGGGAUCUUUUAUCUGCCUCUCUCUCUCUCUCUGGCAAAGCAGUGUUUAGAUUACACGCUGUUUUACUAUUAAAACCCCCCGAUUCAUUGAUAAAAACAAACACACACACACACACAGAGAAAGAAGAGACGCGCGGAUGAGGAAGACGCCCAUAAUGUUGCUCCUAUCUCGAUGUAGACUAGAAAAGAGACUUCUUAGCGUCGGCGGCUAAUUUGUUUACGUUCAGGCUGCAGCGCCGUGUGUGUGUGUGUGUGUGUGUGUGUGUGUGUUGUUUUUAAGUGUGUGUCUGUCGCCAUGAGAGGCCUAGCUGCGCUCACAGGGCCAAUCCUGCUACUCCCAGUUUAGACUCGCUGCAGCAGACCACACUCGUCCAGUAACAGCGACUAAUCUGGCCCUGGGGCUGCCGGAUCCAAACCCAGGCCGCUAAAAUAUAUAUAUUUAUAUACAUAUCUAUAUAUGCACCUUUUAAAAAGACAACACGAGGGGAAGAGGGUGGGCGGUGAUAUUACCCAAUAACUGUACGGAGGAGUAUCAGCCGCUCAUACGCAACAACUGAAAUUACUCGCCCCUUAAUUAGAGCCCGUGUGAGAGUUUACGCAUGCGCAAAGAAGGAAGGUCCCGUGACUAAAAAACAAAAAAAUUACAAUCUUAAUUGAUAAAACAAAGAUAAUAAAAAAUAAUCACGCUGUUUUAUGAGCGCUCUUUAUCUCCAUGCUAUGUCACAGUAGUUAAGACAGACGGGAGCACAUCCCAGGAAACUCCUCCGGAGCAGCUACGUGCAGGGAAAACGUGCAGCAGCUUCUCCUCCUACUACGACCUUCCUCUGAACUCCUUCACCCCCGCUGACCACCACCACCACGCCGCAAACGACGAAUGAAGACCCAUAAAACGACUCGGGGAGGAGGCGGAGGAGGAAAGAAAGAAAGAAGAAAAACAAAGAACUUGGAGAGGGUGAAAUUAAAAAAAAAUAAUAAAUUAAAAGAAAAAAUAAAAGGUUACUUCGUUUCCAUCCACUGUUGAAACAGAGGAGGGAAGAAAACAGCCGCUCUGUUUGGACACGUUGGGUCUGAAGUGAGAAAACUCUCCACCAACACCACCACCACCACCACCACCACGCCGCCCGUCUCUUUUUCUCAGAUUAACGUUAGCUGAUGGAGGAGGAGGAGGAGGAGGAGGGUGGAGAGAGGAGGAGGAGGAGGAGGAGGGGUGAAACGGCUAACGUUAGCUAGCUAAUCCAAAACAAACGAGGUUUCGGUGUCGGCGAUAGAGUCAAACAAAAAAAUAAAAGAGAAAAGCCCACACAGACGCGCGCGGAGUCCGUAUCCCGUUUCCGAUUGUGUAAAAAAAAAACAAGCGAUGAGGUAAACAAACACGAAAAGACUCCAAAAAGAAAAGAGACGGGUCAAGUGUAAAAAAAAAAACUUG